AACGAACGCUGGCGGCGUGGAUAAGACAUGCAAGUCGAGCGGGAACUUUCGCUGUAGCAAUACAGUGAAAGUUCUAGCGGCGAACGGGUGCGUAACACGUGGACAAUCUGCCUUAAAGUGGGGGAGUAGCUCGGCGAAAGACCGAAUUAAUACCGCAUGUGAUGAGAGACGACAUCGUCUUGAAAUACAAAGACCGGGGCGAACCUGGCGCUUUUGUAGGAGUCCGCGGCCAUCAGCUAGUUGG
rnacentral:rRNA from 1 species